rnacentral:tRNA from 1 species
AGCUCAGCUGGAUAGAGUGUCGGCCUCCGAAGCCGAAUGUCGGGUGUUCGAAUCACCUA